GUCAGGACAUUCAUCUUGCCAAAAGGUUUAGCGACUUGGCAGCUCAGACCAGCCCUGAUGCCCAGGCCCCAGUCUCACUAGCUCUGUUGAAGCUAGGCGUGUUUUUUACUUGGGAAUGGAUUCAAGAGAAUUACGGAUCAUUGAACUUGUCAAAGUUUACCAAAUUUAUUGGCGAUGACUGGGAUAUUUAUGCAAUGACAGGACUUGCCCUCCUGUUUGGAAUUCUUCUUCUACUUCGAAGGAGACAAUAAACAUCUUUUAUAGAAUUUGUACAGUAACCGUAGCUUGUAUGACUUUGCAAAAAAUUUUUUAUUUUAAGCAUAAUAAAAUAUUCCGGUUUCUUGUG